UUAAGAAUUAUUUUAAUUAAAGAAUUUUUGACUGUUAAUCAAAAGGUAAUAUUCUUAAG
rnacentral:tRNA from 1 species